GACGAACGCUGGCGGCGUGCUUAACACAUGCAAGUCGAACGGUAAGGCCCUUCGGGGUACACGAGUGGCGAACGGGUGAGUAACACGUGGGUGAUCUGCCCUGCACUUCGGGAUAAGCCUGGGAAACUGGGUCUAAUACCGGAUAGGACCACUGCCUGCAUGGGUGGUGGUGGAAAGCUUUUGCGGUGUGGGAUGGGCCCGCGGCCUAUCAGCUUGUUGGUGGGGUGAUGGCCUACCAAGGCGACGACGGGUAGCCGGCCUGAGAGGGUGACCGGCCACACUGGGACUGAGAUACGGCCCAGACUCCUACGGGAGGCAGCAGUGGGGAAUAUUGCACAAUGGGCGCAAGCCUGAUGCAGCGACGCCGCGUGAGGGAUGACGGCCUUCGGGUUGUAAACCUCUUUCAGCACCGACGAAGCGCAAGUGACGGUAGGUGCAGAAGAAGGACCGGCCAACUACGUGCCAGCCGCCGCUGUAAGAC
rnacentral:rRNA from 1 species